rnacentral:lncRNA from 1 species
GACCUUCAUCCUUCACCCUCCUCCUCCUCUUCGUCCUCCUACUCCUGGUUUACUACUUGUAGAACAACCUGGUGAUCGACACGCCCCGGGUGCGCAAGCAGACGCGCCACUUCAGCACCUUGCGCGACGACGACCUGGUGGAAUUCUCCGACCUGGAGAGCGAGGACGAGGAGCGGCCCCGCUCGCGGCGCCACCACCACCCCCCCCACCACCACCCCCACCACCACCACCACCCCCUCCACCACCCCUACGGCCGCACCGACUGCUUCCGCGUGGAGAAGCACCUCCUGGUCUACGGCUGGGGUCGGUGGAGGGAGAUCCUCUCCCACGGGCGCUUCAAGCGGCGCCUUUCGGAGCGCGACGUGGAGAACAUCUGCCGCGCCAUCCUGGUCUACUGCCUCCUCCACUACCGGGGCGACGAAAACAUCAAGGGCUUCAUUUGGGACCUCAUCAGCCCCAACGAGAACGGCAAGGCCAAGGAGCUCCAAAAUCACUCGGGGCUCUCCAUCCCCGUCCCGCGGGGUCGCAAGGGGAAGAAGGCGAAGGCUCCGAGCGCCUUGGACGUGCAGAAGGCCGAGUGGAUCCGCAAGUGCAACCCCGACGCGCUCUUCCAGGACGAGGGUUACAAGAAGCACCUCAAGCACCAGUGCAACAAGGUGCUGCUGCGGGUGCGGAUGCUCUACUACCUGCGGCAGGAGGUCAUCGGCGACCAGGCGGAGAAGGUGCUGGCGGGGGCCAUGGCCAGCGAGAUCGACAUCUGGUUCCCCUUGGUGGAGCAGCUGGAGGUGCCGACCGCCUGGUGGGACGCCGAGGCCGACAAAUCCCUCCUCAUCGGCGUCUUCAAGCACGGUUAUGAGAAAUACAACACCAUGCGCGCCGACCCCGCGCUCUGCUUCCUGGAGAAGGCCGGCCGCCCCGACGACAAGGCCAUCGCCGCCGAGCAGCGCCUGGAUAUCGGGGAAGGGUGAGCCCAAAAUCCCCAAAUUUGACCCCAAAACUCAGGCGGUGUCCCCAAGAUCCCAACGGUUUCACCCAAAAUCCAAUGGUGUUCCUAAAAACCCAACGGUGUCCUCAAAAACCCAACGGUGUCCCCAAAACCUCAACAGAUAUCUCAAAGAUGUACCCAAAUCCCCAAAUUUAACCCCAAAACCUCAACUUUGACCCCAAAACCCUGACAGUGUCCCCAAGAUCUCAAUGAUUUCCCCAAAAACCCAACGGUGGUCCUAAAAACCCAAUGAUGUGCUCAAAAACGCAACAGUGUCUUCAAGACCCCAACGAUGUCUCCAAAAACCCAACGAUGUCUUCAAGACCCCAACUUUGACCCCAAAAUCCCCAA